rnacentral:lncRNA from 1 species
GACAUUGCAACUGCUUGCUUGCAUGAUCUGCGGGACUCAAAUGAAGGGGUUGCAACCCCAUAUGGUAAACUUGCUUCAGCAGGCAUGUGUACAGAAGCGAGAAACGGGAGCUGCAGACGGCAUCAUCCACCAAAGCUCUGCCUAUGAUGAAGAAAGGUGACAUAAGCAUGAUGCCGCUCUGCCUGAGAUAUGGGUGCCGGUUUGGAAGCCGUUGAGGAUGGAGGCGUAUGUUGGCUACUGGCUCAUAUCACGAAGCAUGACACAUGAAUAGUGACCACUGGUGAGUUGUUCUCUGGGGAAAAUCAUGAUGUAACAGGUUGAUUAAGGCAACUACCCAGGUUCAAACAGGAAGAAGCCGUUGAGCAAGUAUGUUGGUUACUAGGUCAUACACGGAGCUAAGACUUGGGAUUGGUGAGAUGUUCUCUGGGGAAGUCAUGAUAGAACGGGUUGGUAUAGGCUAGUUUCCUAGUUCCGACCUGAGUUCGGUUCCCGGGCAUGCUUUUUCUGCUUGGGAGGUGAUAGCUGUGACUACAGGUAUCUACACAGUUGUGUCCAUCACUCUGAGAUUGACAGAUGGUUGGGGAUCCCCUGAUUUUGAGGGGGGAUAAUUGUCAUUCAUGUGCAAGCAAACAAGGGCAACUGCAGUUUUUUUGGAUUUUGUGUCAAAUUACCUCUUGCUGCAUAUAUUCUGUAUGGAGUCUCCUAUACAGGGUUUGGCGUAUUUAACUUCUGAUGGGGAUGUUUGUCUGUCUACAGGGCCCACCCAGCAACCUGCAGCUGCUGUGGACAACACCACAUGCUUUCCCCACCACACAUCAGCACGCAGAGUCAGUGGAAGAUUAAAGCAGUAGUAAGGUGUGUGGCAAAAAACUGCAUUCUAAGUUCCACAUCACAGUCAUUGCAGUUCAUGAUGGUCUGACAAAGGUGCUACUGUAUGCCCCUGCCUGAUCUUUGCUGCAUACAGGCUCACAAGCUGCUUGUGGAGGACUGCUGCUGCAGCAAUGUCUUGUAGUGUUAACUAACGGCGAUAGAGGACCAAUACUAGGCAUGACUACCAGAAGGUGUUAGGGUGGAUAGUGCAUGUGACCUAUGAUGUAGCAUGUUUUGAGGCAAAUUUUGUUGAGAGAUGUGUAACACAGCAAAGGCGUAACCCGGGAUGCUCAGAUUGGCAUUUGCGUCGUUACAAGAUGGAUGAGCUGCAGCUGGGUGCACCCAAUAUGAAACUGUUUGGAGCUGUUUCGAAGCUUCUGCUGCAGCAGCUGCUGCAUACAGGCUCACAAGCCGCUUGUGGAGAAGCUACUGCUAGCAGCAGCGCUGCUGCACUGUACAGUCACUGUACAGACUUGUCUUGGAGUGUUAACUGACGGUGAUGGAGGACUUCUUCUAGGCAUGAAUACCAGAAAGUGUAAGGGUGGAUAGAGCGCUUCUGAGCUAUAAUGUAGCAUGUUUUGAGGCAAAUUGUUGACAGAUCGAUGAGCUGCAGCUGCAGCAGCCGCUGUUGUGGAAAUGUUUGGUGCUGUUUGGAAGCUGCAGAUUGUUUGGAAGCUGCAGCUGCAGCAGCUGCUUCAGCUGAAGCAGGCAAUGCAUAUGGCUUAAUGUUGUUACAUAGCAGGACUUGGGAAUUUUGUAUGCAUGUAGCUGCUGCUAGGCGACGUGUAUAUGUAAAAUUAUGAAUCCACGCGUACAUCCCUACCCCUAUGGCAGCCAAACGACGUGUUAUGGGCCCCCCCCUAGCAACUGGACUAGUUACCCAGG